AGAGGUGUCUCCGACGGGCGCUCUCGGGGAAGUCUUCAGCCCUGGGACCCUUCUGAAUUCACUCACAUGUGGGACUUGGGGACAGAGGCUGGAAGAUGAAGGCUCUAGGACACUGCUGACUGAGCCCACUGCCCACCGCUUGCUCCUUGCUCACCAUCGACAGCGUCUUGGUGCUCUGAGAGAGCCCUACAGCAGAGAGAAAGACUGCUGCCCCAGCCCACGGGAAGUCCUUCUCCAAGCCCAAACACUGCAGGGAGGAUCACCGGGGGCAGCCAGCACCCUGACGAGUGGGCUGACUCAGAGGGAGUCUCCAGUCAUGUCACCUAAAAAUCACCUGGAGUCAACUUGUUGGAGACAAGCUAAAAAAGGACAAUUGGAGAAAUAUGAAUGUGGGUGAUACAACAAUAUUAUUAAAU
ensembl:lncRNA